rnacentral:rRNA from 1 species
GACGUAGGGCGCGAGCGUUGUCCGGAUUUAUUGGGCGUAAAGAGCUCGUAGGCGGCUUGUUGCGUCGACUGUGAAAACCCGCGGCUUAACUGCGGGCUUGCAGUUGAUACGGGCAGGCUAGAGUUCGGUAGGGGAGACUGGAAUUCCUGGUGUAGCGGUGAAAUGUGCAGAUAUCAGGAGGAACACCGGUGGCGAAGGCGGGUCUCUGGGCCGAUACUGACGCUGAGGAGCGAAAGCGUGGGAGCGAACAGG